rnacentral:tRNA from 1 species
UGGCUCAGUGGUUAAGAGCACUGACUGCUCUUACAGAGGACCUGGGUUCAAUUCCCAG